GACGGGGCCCGCACAAGCGGUGGAGUAUGUGGUUUAAUUCGACGCAACGCGCAGAACCUUACCUAGACUUGACAUCCCGGGGAUUUUCCGGAAACAGAGAAGUGCUUUAGCAAUAAAGAACCCGGUGACAGGUGCUGCAUGGCUGUCGUCAGCUCGUGUCGUGAGAUGUUGGGUUAAGUCCCGCAACGAGCGCAACCCUCGCCUUUAGUUGCCAGCAUUCAGUUGGGCACUCUAGAGGGACUGCCGGUGUCAAACCGGAGGAAGGUGGGAUGACGUCAAGUCCUCAUGGCCUUUAUGUCUAGGGCUACACACGUACUACAAUGGCCGGUACAAAGGGCAGCCACUCAGCGAUGAGGCGCUAAUCCCAUAAAGCCGGUCUCAGUCCGGAUCGCAGUCUGCAACUCGACUGCGUGAAGUUGGAAUCGCUAGUAAUCGUAGAUCAGCAUGCUACGGUGAAUACGUUCCCGGGCCUU
rnacentral:rRNA from 1 species